CUCUCCUGUACAGGACAAAGAAAUUCAGUGUCUCUUGCGUGAUCAUUUCUGUGUGAGUAGUUGUUCUUUUCAGGUCCAACUCUGAACAACUCUGACAUCUUGGUCCUUCGAGCCGGAUGCCAACAGACUGGAAACUCGUCAGCCCGUGACGGAGAACACCCGUGGAGUCUGCGGCCACAGAGCGGGAACCAGUUCCUGCAGACCCCUUUCUGGGGGACGGGUCUCCUCCCUAAUGGGUCGACACUUACCGGGGUGAAGGCAUACGGACUGCAGCAGUGGUGACAGAGUGUGAUCACGGGACCCUGAGGGUCAGAUCCAGAUUGGUGACUGGGUGCUGAUAAAGACUAUUAAGAGGAAGAACUGGUCAUCUCCAAGGUGGGAAGGUCCAUUCCAAGUGCUGCUAACCACCCCCACUGCCGUAAAAAUUGCAGAAAGGUCAUCUUGGGUGCAUCUAUCCCACUGUAAAAGACAAAGAUACCUGAAAGAUCCCGAACAAGACAAGGGGAGCGACGUGUAACAGUGACGGCUGAUGACCUAUAGGCCCAGUAACGGCUGGAAGCGCG